rnacentral:lncRNA from 15 species
UUUUCACUACCAAAUAAUCCAAGCUGGAAAACCCCAAACUGCUAAAGACGCACCAGACCAAACCGGAGGCCUGCCGUCUGUUUUCCAGGCCUCACUUCAACCCUGAACGCCACAUUUCCAAGGCGACAAGCUCCUGGACCUCAGUAGCAUCGCAGCGCCAUGCUCACCAAUCACUAAACAAGCUGCAUUAACACACACACAGAACAGACGCACACAUGCAGGCCAAUUUCCAUCUCUGCUGACCAGGUCUGACAAGACAACAAACUACCCGCGGUGGACAAAUUGGUCACUUUUCUCUAAACGGCCUCCCUUUUCCGUCCUAACGGAGGCCACUCCCGGCCAAAUUAGGUUACCCUCUCCCGGUUUCCAACUGUAAACAACAACUGAACUUUUAAACUCACCGACUGAUGCUGCUGCAGCUUGCCUGCUCAUACACGGCUCUAUUUCUGAGUUGAUUGGGGGGGGAAACGAGGUCCUGCUCCGAGCCUCAUCUGGACACAACCGCUAUCUCCUGCCUCCUGUGUGUGUGUGUGUGUGUAUGUGUGCUGAGAUAUUUUUUUAAAGCGAACCCAUUCUGCUUUGGGCCAAACUAUAAAAAAAGAAGGCAGCUUUGACAUUUACAUGUCAAACGGAUGAGGGUUUUUAUCUCCAAGUUGGAUCGUAAAGAUCAGGCCUGGCCUCAGACUGAUACCUCUCACUGGCUCUCCUCUGGUCACGUGGGGUCCAUAAAGUUAGUUUUAUGGUUUUGGGGAGUUGACAAUGUACUAUAUAUUUCACAUUCUAGAAAGCAAGUGACGGUUUAACGGCUUCGCGGGGAUCCUAAAGGGGUCAGUAAAGUAGAGACAGAGCGGGAGAGGGAGGGAGUGUGUGUGUUAGAGAGGGAGAGAGAGCAGGCCACUACUACCGGCCGCUGUUCCUGCUCCGGUUCACACGCGGAGCCCGGCAGGCUCCGGUCUGUGCCGCUCUGGACUCUGGGAAAAGCCGGUGGAGAGAAAGAGCCAGGACGCACAAUACCACGAAGAAUCCCGAAGAGGUCAAAAAACCUGUGGCGUCGGAAGAAGAGAGAGAGAGAGAGAGAGAGAAAGAGAGAGAGAGAGAACUGAGGUGUGAAUGCCGAAGUAGGAAGGCAUCUCUUCAUGGAGAAAAAAGGAAAAAGACUGGAGCACGGCUGCCGGUUUGUUGGAGAUGUACAGAAGAAAAACAGAAAAAGGAGAAGAAAAUGUAAUGAUAAUAACACCAGUUGAAAUCGAAGUGACGACGAUGCCAGUAAGGAGAGGCGGAUCCGUGAGCUACAGAGGAGUGAGUACACAAAAAAUAGAAAUCGCCUCGUAGAAGAGGAAGCUGCCUCAUUUGCAUAUCGCUGUGUGUGUGUGUGUGUGUGUGUGUGUGUGUGUGUGUGUGUGUGUGUGUGCGUGUGUAANNNNNNNNNNNNNNNNNNNNGACCACGUGUUGCAGGAGCUGCCGCAGAACCCCCUCCUCACCAUCCUCUCCUUAGACACUUGAGUUUAUAAUGACUUUAUAAUCAAUUCAUAUUUUUGAUCGAUUAGAGGCUGUGCACGUCACGCCGUGGGUAUUUGAGCUGUGUGUUUCCUUUUCGCAAGCUCCAUUUCCUUCACUGUACCUUCCCUAUCAUGCUGGUUAAUUAGUUAGCCUAAUUAAGUCACUUGGGGCUGUGUGACUUCAGGGUGCACGACAGACAUUUGGGCAAUAAUUUAGGUUUUGCAAGAACCCCAUUUUUCUCCUCUUGUCAACCAGACACUAGGUUAUAAUUCAAGUAUCGAUGAAUAUAGCAUCAGAUAGAUAGAUAGAUAGAUAGAUAGAUAGAUAGAUAGAUAGAUAGAUAGAUAGAUAGAUAGAUAGAUAGAUAGAUAGAUAGAUGGAUACUUUGUUAUUAACCUCCCCAGGCCUAUGCAACCCCCACCACACACACACACACACACACACACACACACACACACACACACACACACACACCAAUAGCCCUAUGCCUACCGAGGGUGAAGGCGAGGUCGUGGCCAGUGGAAGGUUAAAGGUCAGGCUGGACAACUUUCUCCCCCUAUAGGCCUAUCCUGAAUCACAGUUUUACAAUCUUCUAUAGAUGAUUUAAUGCAGAAUAGCGAAUAGCUCCAUUGCCAACGAAUGUUUGUGCUGCCUUCAAAAUGCCUUAAAUAGUAACAGGAAUUCUUUGGUUAUGUCCCACAUGGGGAAUAAUUGUUCUGAAGAAAUAAAUAGAGUGAGUAUGAAUGAACUGAGAUUUUUUGCACAAUGGUUUUGACUCAGCGUGAGCUUUUGCUGCGGUUUUAUCAGUUUCCAUCCAGAUGUGUGGUUUUCUGCUGUUGAUGUACGAGCACAUGGCGUAUCAACGUGUUGGCAACAUGAGCCUGCAGAAAGCGGCAGCGGUCUCAGCUGUUUAUUUUCCUCUGCUGAUUGCUAAUGUGCUGUUUCUUUGAUUAUAAGGUGGCUGUGGAAUAAAAUGCUCCGAUUCUGCAGGGAGCAUUUGUUUCUUUUCAUCGUUUGUGCUCCUCCAUCAAACAACAAACGCUGUGCGCUAAUACUGCACACACCCAGUUCGCCAACAAGUUCAAAUAGUUCAUUUUUCAGGAUGUUUAUAUGCGUUUACUUCGCAUCAACAAUGUAUGCAUAGAUGUGUCUUUCUG